GAAAUAUUGGGGAUAACAGUUUCAGAGUCUAUAUAUUAUUGCUCUAUCUGCAUAUUCAUGGAGACAGGAGCACCAUUUGUCUUACAUACAGUACGUUUGUCAAAAAUUGAUAAGUAUAAAGAGUCAAAUAGCCAGUUUGUGGGUGUUGUUAAUAAAACCUAAUGUCAUUUAUGGUAAUGAAGCAGUCUAAAAACGCUUAAACUUUCUAAAACAAUUUGUAAAAUACUAUCAACAUAUGGUCAUAAUGACCACUUACAGCUAUACCAAGCAUCUGUACAAAAGACAUUGCUAGCUUAGGCUUUUAUUGCAUCCUGUACAGACACUCUGUAGUGUGCUUGGUAUUCUCAGUUAUAUAGCCAUGACAUUUGUCCUGCAGAAUUUGCUUCAAUGUGUUGUGGAAAGGAGGGGCUGCCAUGUAUAGACCCUCUUCAGAGAUGCAGAUCCAGAACUGAGUCCUGAUAGAAAAAUAAUUUCGCUGGGCAUCCCCCGGCCCUUUUUAGGGAAGUAGGUAUCUAGAUGGUUAAAUUGUUUUAUUGGGAUCAGAGGUGAUAUAGUAUUAAUACUAAUAGUCUAACUAUCCAUAAUAUUCUCAUUCUUAUUAGGCUGAUGGACUUGAGGAACCUAUAUUAUUGUAUUACCUAUUUUUCUAUUAUGCCCUAUGAAGAUGUUUUCUUUUGGAUGGAAACAUUUUUUUGUGGUGCAUGUCUGAGAAGCACAGUAACUUAUAUUUUGUUAUAUAGCAAUAUUGUCAAUUUUGUCAAGACAGUUUUACAAUUUGGGGUCCUAUCAAUGAAAAAAAUGGGUCCCCAUGACAUGUCACACAUUUUGAAAUCUGCCCAUCAGUUGACUUCUUUCAAGCAGAAGGAGGGGCAGGGCACCGUGACCAUACACAGAGUGUUUCAGCUGCUCUCUGUAAAUGGUCUGCCUUGAGGGAGGGGAUGUCAGUCAGUGUCACUAGCUACUUUAGGGGUGAUCCUGCACAUAUUGCUAAAAGACCUACUUUUUUGAUGGGUGCCUCUAUGCAGCCUGCUCUCUUGACUUUGACCUUUGUUGCCGAAGGAGGGGAGGUAAAAUUGUCAGGUGGGAUUUUGGGGUAACUUUGCCACAAAUACAUUUUUGAGGCCCUUGCACUCUAGAAAGUCAACCUAGUUCUUGGAAUGGAAGGGGUUAACAAAGUAUCAAGUGGACAUUUUUUUAAAAAUAAAAACACAUCUAAAUUUAUACAUUUAAUUAUAUUCCUUAGAGACCAAUAGGGCACAUAGGAAAUAAAAUUGAAAUGUACCUGUGGUAUUUUAUUAUGAAAUCUGGUUUUGCAUGAACCACAUUGUUUGUAAAACUUAUCAUCUUAAUGGUUCUCAACAGGAAACCAUACUUCAAUUAAAUUAACCUGCAUAAUCAUUAUUAUGAGUAUUGCAUCUUGAACAAUGAUUGAUCGAAAUUAGUUUGAUGCACCAAAAUGUGAGCAGAAAAUGUGCAUAUUAGAAAAUCUUUUUCAAGUUUCACAAGAUAAAUUGGAAAACCUUAAGUGGUCAGCAUGUUACAUUGCGAAGAAAGGUCUAAAGUGAUGAUUAAACCCUUGAAUUACAUUUCCCAUGAUGCUCAGGGAAUGUUCCAACAUGUGUAGUUGCCAAGGGUUUCCAUUACUGGGUGGGAUCUACUGUUGAAAUACCACUCCAAGCACCAUAAUCACUACAGUAUACUGUAGUGGUUAUGGUUCCACGAGUACCCUGGCACCCUUCAAGUGUAAGUAGUCAAACUGUCUAGGAAUGGUUUGACAACUUACUUGGUGUCUGUCAGGAACUAAUCACUCCUCCAGUACAAUGUCCCAAAAUGCAAAAAAACACACAUUUUGGAUAUUAAAUGAAGAGAAUUGGAUGGUAUUAUGUUUAUUACCAUUUAUAUAGUGCCAACAUAUUCAUUAGUGCUUGGAAUGUGACAUUUAGACUAAGAAAUAAAUGACAAAUGCGUUACUAAGACCUGAUUAGACCUUUUUUUUAUAAUCUAGAGGAAGUGGUGGAAUAAGAAGACAAUCAUUACAGUGGAACAGAGAUUAGCAUGAAUAACUACUGUAUCUGAUUAAGUAUAUAAAAUAUGUGAAGUAUGCAGGAAAGGUAUAGUGUGAAAUGUGGGUGGAACCACACUUUAUUUAAGGAGUGAUGGUGCAAGCUGGUAUAAAGAGAAUAUUACCCAGAAAGAUGCUAAGCUUUCUCAAAGAGAUGAGUUUUGAGAAACUUUUAAAAGUCUGGGGGCUAGGGAAAGUCUGAUAGAAUGAGAUGGACAUUUCACAGUAAAAUGACUUAUUCAUACUGGGUUGAAUGGGCUUGUAGGAUAUUUUUCCUUAUGUCACUGUGAUAUCUGUAAAACAGUUUUUUGCAUUGCAGUCGCAUUGUCUACCCGGCAACCUCCGGUUAUAGAAAACGUGCAUAGUUGCCAACUGUCCAAUAUUUUGCUGAGUCUGCCCCAGUUUUAGAUCAACUGUCCCAGCAAAAACAGGUUUUACAAAAAGGUGUGCUGUUUGUUCAAAUGGGCAAGAGAGAGGAACUUGGAAACAAAAUGGAUUGGCAGGUACACUACCUAAAAUGUUUAAUGGCGGAAGAUAUAAGCAUCAUGUGCAAAUGUUUUGGGACACAGCCCUUUCUCAACUGGGGGUAUUGUACACUGAGAAAGGACUGUACUAGUAUACCUACAAAUCUAUUCUGUGGCCUCUCCUCUGUCGGAAAACAGGUCUGUGCCCUACUUCUCCAACUCUGUGCAAGGAAAACUACAUUUUCAGUUUACUGAAGGCAGAAAAAAAGAAAACCUUUUUUUUUUUUUUUUUUGCAAAAGUGACAAAGCUCCACACUCAUUGAUUAAGCCAGCUCAGGCAUUUGAGACAAGUAUGUAACUUGACAGGCUGGCCCUUACCCUUUCAGCCAGGAGGUAAUCAAUAUGGUUCCCAGAAGAUACUGAAAGAGAGAGAUUAUACAAAAAGAAAACUAAGAUAUAAUUAUCUAAUGAUUGUGCUAUAACAUUGAUAUGAAGAUACACAGAGAUCAAAGAAAUCUGUUCUCUCCGAGCAUCAUUUUACAUUCAAAAUGGCCGCACCGUGUAGUUUGAAGUAGCGAUAGGAUUUAACUCUUUGCAGCUGCUAGGUUUUUCUGGUGAUCCCAGUUAGCAAUCUCCAUUACAUGUUUUUUUGUCAGCUACUAUGUUAGCUACUUCAUCACAAGAAGUAUUUCAAAGGAAGCCAGUGGAUGAGCACUUAACUUUGUUUACAAUAGUUACUUUUUCAUAAUUAGCAAGAUGUCACAUCAACAUUGGAGUCUAUGGCCUAUUGUUCCGAAGAGGAAGGUUAUAGCAAACUAUUGAGAUUUAUUUCAUUCUAUACCGUACAGUUUAUUUAAUUCUCCACCUGUACACUUCUCAUUCAUUAUACACCUUUAUAUAUCGUUCCAUUCUUCACCUGUACAGUUUGCUUCAUUCUACACCUCUAUACUUCUUUUCCAUUCUACACCCUUAUAUAUUGUUCCAUUCUUCACCUGUAUAUACUUUGUUUCAUUCUACACCUGUACAAUUUGGCUUAUUCUACACCUGUACAGUUUUCUUUAUAGGCUCCAUAAAGCAAGGUAGGAGUUGAAAUAGGGAUAUAUAUCCUACUCUUCUGCCUAAAACCAUACUACAAUGUAAAAAAAAAUUCUGAUUGUUUUUCUUAUUGUUAUUGAUUUAUACAUUAAGACAAAGUUCUUCCCCCUUUCCAUAAACCAUCCUUGGUUUGUACAUCUCAUGUUAUUAUAGGCCAUGCGGAAAUUUUGAAAGGAAACCAGUGGUAAGCAGAUUCUAGCACAGAUAACACAAUCCAUCUCUCUAUAAAACAAAUUAACAUAAAUUAACCUGUAUUUACUUAUAGCAUACUUACAUUCUGCAAGACGCUCUUAAUUCUCUUUUGCUAGCUAAGUGCUGGGUUUAAAAAGAUUAAUUAUUUUUUUUUUUAAAUGAUAAAAGCAGCAUUUUUUUUUCCCCAUAAACCUAUCUGUAGUUGUUCUUCUGAUGUUGAAUCUAAAGCGGCUGGUGUUUAACUUAGAUCUCCUUGGCACCCUUCUGUUUCUUCUUAAUGAAGAUAAAAUCUAAUACAUUUUAAAACUUUCCUAUCCCUUUUCAGACUGCUACUGAAGCCCACAGUACAGCACACAUGCUGAAUCUUUAUUGAAUAGCUUAUUUCACUUUAGGAAUGAGAAACAACUAGGUUCCUAUCAGCAUACAAAUUAUGCAAAAUUAGCGCUUUUCUAUUUUAUAAUUUGCUUCUUUUACUAUGCAUCUGAGAAUCUGAAAAGAAUCUGAAAAGACCUCUUCUUAACAUUACAGUUUAAAACUUGUUUAACAUCAAAUUAAUUUUAACUCAGCAGCAAGAGUAUAUCUAUAUAUUUUAAACCAAUUUAUCCUUUUUAGAAUCCCAUUUAACACAAUACCAUGUUUUAGAAACAUAUGUCUAUUAACAAAUAACUGAUAGGCUAGACUAUAUAUGUAAAUGUACCCUCAACUAUUACAUACACUGUACUUAAUACUCCAAGAUUUAUGUCAAAACUGUGAAAAUAAAAUAAAUAUUGGAACUUGAAAAUAAAUCUCAAAUUUGAGAUUUUUUUCCUUGUAUUCUGUUUAUUGACUUAACCCUGAUAACUGGUCAAAAAGCUAUCUUUUCUAUAUAUAUAUAUAUAUAUAUAUAUAUAUAUAUACACAGUGUAUCAAUAUUGGUCGGGACCACAUGUAAAUCAACAAUGGUCAAAAGGUAUUAUUAUUAUUAUUAUUAUGAUAUUUAUAUAGCGCCAUCAAAUUCCGCAGCGCUUUACAAUGUCUUAUGUCCUAUAGGUAUCGUCAGAUUUGUACAUCCACCAAGGAUUUGUAAAUCCACUACUUAUUGGCCACUCCCUGUUAAAAAGCUCAGUAAUUAAAACCCAUAAAAUUAUUGUUGCAUUGGAACUUCCUCUCUUUUGAUAGAAACACAUUCAUAUUUCUCCAGAUCGCCUUGAUUACUCCAUAUGUUCACCUUGUCUUUCCAAAGGAACAUGCUGAUUUUCCUUUUCCAGACCAUAUGGGUUCUAGAUAGACAGAUCAAACCGCCCAAAACUCAGAACCCCCUCUAUGAACCUAUAAAUAGAAAAAAUUAAACAGAGCGCCUGCUGGGCUUUUUAAUGAAAAUAGAUGUAUUUUUUUUCCCUAUGGUGACAAUUCAGUCUUUGUGAAGACUCUAUAACUAGGCAUACAUUCCUUUAGGCUUUUUUUCUACCGAGUAGGAGUGCAGUGAAACCAAAACACUAAACUGGCUAAUUCCAUAUUCCCCAACCACUGUUUAAGCAUUGCCUGUCAUUCACCUCUGGCAGAUCAUGGCCUUCUGCCUAGAGCAGUUGCAGUCAAAUAUCGACUGAUGGCUGCGGCUAUCAGUUUUUUUUACUUUAUUUCGGAUUAUAUAAAAACCUCUAAUUGAUGCUCUUUACCUUGAUUUUAUAUUGUUUAUUUUGUUAAUUUCAAAUUACCACUUUAAGCUCAUAACGAAGCUCCUACAUGUUUACACAUACAGUGUGACAUUAAUAUACUGUCAGCAAGCCACCCAAGUAUACGUGACAUGAUGGUUGUACUGCCUGCCAGCCAACUGUCAAAGGGACUGUGUGCAUGUAUUAAACAUGAAACAAUGCUGUUCAACAUGUUGGUGCUUUGAAAGUAAAAUUAAUAGUAAUAAUAAUAAAUAUUAAUUUUAUGCCAAUGCAUGUUAUAGAUUUAUAUUUUUUUUCAGGAUUUUGCAAACAUUUUAUACUGCUUGGGUAUGCAGGACCACAGAGUAUAGGUCUCACAUAAGAGUUUUCCUCUGACAAUGGGGACGUGUAUUUGGACCGGUAGGUGGGCAAUAGGUGGACAACUAUUGUGUUACAGUUGUGGAUUCCAGAAUGUUCAAACAUUUUAUUAUUCAUUUUAUAAGAUGUUCUUGCCUACAAAAUAAUUCCAGGACACUUUUCGUUGUAUAUGACACUGGAGUAACUUGAGGGGAAAAAAAGAUCGCUCAUAUAGAAAAAUAACACAACACGUAGUAAUGUCGCUUGAGAUUUUUUUUCAUAACUAAUGAGUGACAGAUCUAUUCUCUUUUUCGCAUGGUUACCAUAAUUGUCUAAAUCCCGUAACAGUUCAUUACAGAGAUGUCAGGAGAGACACAUUUUUCAUCUUUCAAUAUCAUAUUCAUAAAGAAAACCUCAAGACUCCAGAAAACAGAUUUGCAGGAACUUUCUGAGUAUCCAUCAUUAUUCAACGUACCGGUAUUUCUUUCAAACUGGAGAAUAGGCUAUAUGGAGAGAUUUUAGUGGGGUAUUUUUUUUGUUCUGAUAAUAGUCUUCAUAAAUCUGUACUAUCAAUAACUAUAGUGAUUUGAAGACAUUUGAAAAAUCUUCAUAAUUUCAAGUCUCUAACCUUUCCAAAGCUAAAUGGCAGAAGCAAAGUACUCUCGAGCUCCUUCUAAAUUAAAGAGAACUGUCUAGUAGUUUUAGUGCAAAUGGAAGAAAUGUUUUGCAAUAUUAUUUGUGAUGCACCAGUGCUUUACAAUGAGCUAGAGAGCACUUGACCAUGAAUAUAUAUCAACAUACCAAAUAGUUGCCGAACUUUGAAAAUACAAAUCGAUAAUUUAUCUUGAGGUCUAGCUCUGUUAGGUAUCGUUGAGUCAAUAAUAACAGAAAAUAUUCUCAGCUGAUUCCAGCUUUGUACAUGACUAGGAUGCAUUUUGUAUGCUGACACAGGAUUAUCCUGCAUUAUUGAAUCUGAGGUUUGAGAUUUGGUGGUGUGAUAUUGUUUUGUCCAUUGCUCUUGGAUCAUGAUGGAGCUAAACAGAGUCAUUGGCCUCAGCAGAAGACAAUGAGGUGCAAUGCCCUCAAUCUGUGGUAGAUAGGCUGAUUGUCAGAAUAGGUGCUUCAAAUUGCUGUCUUUCUUUCCUAAGCAGUUUCCCCUCUGUUUCAAUUUCCCACCCCGUCGUCCCUCUAUUUCAGUAGAACUUCACAGCAAUACACGUUGUAGUAUAAUUUCACGCACUGCCAAUUUAAUCUGUAGUAAACAAGUUUAGAAUUGUUAUAUGAUGAUAUAAAAUAUUAAUCAAUGUAAAUGAUCUAAAUUAUUUACAUAAAUGGCUACCCGUUGACAAUGAACUUCAUGGAACGUUCACUGUGCCCUACUGAGCCACACCUUUAGUCAUACCACUUAAAACUCACAUGUUCCUAUUUGGCUAGUUAAAAUGGUAUGACAAAUGUAUUUGUCAAGUUAGUAGAUGGUUACAUAUAUUUGUUAAAGUCUGGGACAUAAUGACACAGAGGGAUAUUGAGAAAGUUAGACAGACCAAAAGAGUUUCAAGGGACACUAUAGGAACCUAGACCACAACAUCUCAAAGGGUUGGCAAUGUUCACAUUGCAGGUGUUUAACCCCUUAACCCCUUAAGACCACAGCCAAAUGUACAAGUUGUGAUCAAAACAAAACGUAAACAAAACCUGGCAUUUGCGCUAUAUGUCUGUCCAACCGUAAUUCACCUCUUUCAUAUUAAAUGCACCCAUACUUAUUAUAUGUCAUUUUAUUCAGGGGAAACAGGGCUUUCAUUUAAUAUCAAAUAUUUAGGUAUGGAACAUAAUUUAAUAUGAAUAAAAUGUAAAACAAAUGGGAGAAAAUAAGAUUUUUUUUAAAUGUUCUUAGUUCUACGUGACAUAUGGCAGCCCAGGAAUAAGAAUUACCUCCAUGAUGGCAUACCAUUUGCAAAAGAAGACAACCCAUGGCAUACCAUUUCCAGUUUUUUUUAGUAGCCACUUGGUCACAAACACUGGCCAAAGUUAGUGUUAAAGGGACACUAUAGUCACCUGAACAACUUUAGCUUAAUGAAGCAGUUUUGGUGUAUAGAACAUGCCCCUGCAGCCUCACUGUUCAAUCCUCUGCCAUUUAGGAGUUAAAUCCCUUUGUUUAUGAACCCUAGUCACACCUCCCUGCAUGUGACUUGCACAGCCUUCCAUUAACACUUCCUGUAAAGAGAGCCCUAUUUAGGCUUUCUUUAUUUCAAGUUCUGUUUAAUUAAGAUUUUCUCAUCCCCUGCUAUGUUAAUAGCUUGCUAGACCCUGCAAGAGCCUCCUGUAUAUGAUUAAAGUUCAAUUUAGAGAUUGAGAUACAAUUAUUUAAGGUAAAUUACAUCUGUUUGAAAGUGAAACCAGUUUUUUUUUCCAUGCAGGCUCUGCCAAUCAUAGCCAGGGGAGGUGUGGCUAGGGCUGCAUAAACAGAAACAAAGUGAUUUAACUCCAAAAUGACAGUGAAUUGAGAGUGAAAUUGCAGGGGAAUGAUCUAUCCACUAAAACUGCUUUAUUUAACUAAAGUAAUUUAGGUGACUAUAGUGUUCCUUUAAUAUUUGAAAAUGCAAAAAACUAAUUUGAACGCCAACUUUGGCCAGUGUUUGUGACUAAGUGGCUACUAAAAAAGACUGAACAUACCCCAUUUGCAAUUCCUGCGCUAAACCUGGCGAAUUUUAAUGUGAAAAAACUGAAAUGCAAGCCUUAUAUUUGACGCUGUAACUUUUGAAAACACUAUAAAGCCUGUACAUGAGGGGUACUGUAAUGCUCGGGAGACUUCACUCAACACAAAUAUUAAUGUUUCAAAACAGUAAAACGUAUCACAACAAUUAUAUCGUCAGUGUAAGUGCCAUUUGUGUGUGAAAAAUGUAAUAAGUGUCAUUGUCACUGACGAUAUCGUCGUUGUAAUACAUUUUACUGUUUCGAAACACUAAUAUUUGUGUUCAGCGAAGUCUUCCGAGUAAAACCCUAUGUACAGGUUUUAUGGUGUCUUGGAAAGUUACAGCGUUAAAUAUAGUGCUAGCAAUUAAAUUCCCUGAACUUUCGGCCUGGGUUGUCAGGCAGGUCCUGCAAAUUAUAAUUAAUAAAAUGACCUAAUUAUGUAAAAUUAUUACAUAAAUAUAUAUGUAGAAUUAUAUAUAUAUAUAUAUAUAUAUAUAUAUAUAUAUAUGUGUUUAUAUAUGUAUAUAAUUUUUUAAAAUUAUUUUUAUUUAUAUAUAGGUAUAUAUAUAGUGAUAUAUAUAUUAUUUUGUUUUACAUGUAUUUUGAUAUCAAUAUAUAUAUAUAUAUAUAUAUAUAUAUAAAUUUUAAAAUACAGUUAGAACAAAAUUACACAUGUAUAUAUAUUUUUUUAUUUAUUUUUUAAUUUUUUUAAUUUUAUUUUUUAACGCAUUUAAAUAUUUAUUUAUUUUUUAUUAUAUAUAAAUAUAUAUAUAAUGAAAAUGAUAUAUAUAUAUAUAUAUUUAAUCAAUAUCAUUGUACGUGUAUUUUGAUAUUAAUAUAUAUAAUUAUGUAUAUAUUAAUAUUAAAAAAAACCUAGACAGUGUAUGUGUAUGUGUAUGUGUGUAUAUAUACUUAGAUCAUAUAUAUAAUAUGAUCUAAGUAUAUAUUAUUUAUUUUUACACUGUUUUAACAUGUUUUAUUUCCAGACUGCAGGGGGAGUACCUGUCAUUACAGGCACUCCCCCUGCUGGCAAUGCCUUGGACGGCUAUGCCGUCCAUGUGCUCGCGAGGUCCUUGCAAGGACCUUGCGAUCACAUGGCCCAGGGGGGGCCGAAGAGGACGGAGGGGGACUCCCUGGGCUCCCAGGUGAGUCCCCAUAACGCAAUCGCCGGCGUGGGAUCACCGGUGACCGGGUAAGUAAAUAAGAUCGCAGGGCCUUCUAUGCCGCCCUGCUGCGUUUAGAGCCAUCAAAAUAGGGACGGCAUAGAACGCCCUGCUGUCUUAAGGGGUUAAAUGCCUCUAGUGACUGUCACUAUGACAGCCACUACAGAUGCUUCUGCAAACAUAGCCCAGCCAAACCUGGCUAUUUCUAUUAGAUGGUCUCGUAGAGGUGCACGAACAGUAGCCUCUCCGUGCUUUCAUAUGGGAAAGCAUUAGAUUGGUUGAGAACAUCGAGCUCUAUGAUCUCAGCCAAAGAGGCAGGGCCAGACACAGGAGAGCAGUGUUAUAUGGGAGAAAAGGUAAGUAAACAGUUUUUUUUUUUACUUGUUGUGGGGGGGGGGGGGGGGCGAUGAGCUGGUCACCUCAAUGGUGUCUAGGAUACUAUAGGGUUAGAGUUGUACGCAUUUGUAUUCCUAAGACUAUAGUGCUCACAUAAGAAGAGUUUAUAGCAGAUACAGGCUGUUAUAUAAAAUAGAAUUAAUGUUGUGUGUUGUGGAAGACAGUUAUUGCUAGUGUUACUGAGAGCCAGGAUGUUAAAUUGUUUUAUCUUUGAUUUCUCUGGUUCUUUUCAGGGUGUGUGUCCCCUGUAGUAGGAGCAAUCGGAAACAUGGCAAAUGAUUCGCUUCACAGCAUUAACACCUCUCCCUUGGUGAAUACUUGUUGCUAUGGAGAUGAAACAACUCAGUUGUCUUUCCUUCAGCAGCUUAAAAACAUCACAUCUUUCUCUGUAUUGUUUUAGUUUUCUAGGGAUGCAUAACUCCCAUAUGUCACUCUUAAAGGGAUUAUCUGCUGCGCCAAAUAGGAAAAAUAAAUAAAAAACACUGUUUAGUAUUAUACUCCAACUUAAAACAUGCGUGUAUUAAUUAUGCAUUUUUUUCUCUUGUCUGCAGUCUUUCCAAUCUUUCCCUUCUAACCCCGCCCAGACAUACUGUGGCUGUCCAAUCACAGACUUCCCAAUGCUGCUCAAUAAGACGUCUUUGUAAGGUGCUCUGAGCAAUUACUGGAUUUCGAGUUUACCUCCACUGAGCUAACCAAACCAGGAAGUAACAGGACCAAUUGUAUGAUUGAAAGUCCACGAGGGAAGGAAACUUGGAAUUUUUGCAGAAGGAAAAAAGAGGACACACUAUUCACAUAUAAAGCACUUCAUCAAUGUAAAGUGCUUUAGGAGUUUGCAGUGUCUCUUUAAAGGGUUAUUAUAACCCUUUUGAGAAGGGGCCUUACUGGUUAAAUAUGCCUUAUUGGAUACUGUAGAGAAGGUACCCCUCUUCAUUUGAAAAAAAAAAAAGUUUUACUUACCUGGAAUCCAGCACCAGGUACGUUUACGUUGGUAUGAUUAAGAACAUUUUAGAUGUACAUUUUUGUUGCACACACCUAUAGAAAAUGGUGAGUUAGAUACCACGAACCAUGUGGGCAAUGGGAAUCGUGAUACAAGUCAUAUCAUUCUCCACUGACCUCUCCAUGUGAGUGUUGUUCUUUAACCUAGAAAACUGCAGCUCGCUGGAUAUAUUUUAUAUUUAUUGCAACAUGGACUGUAGAGUAUGAAAAUCUCAGUAGGUCAGUAAAUGCUGGGAAUACCAUGCCUGGCUGUAAUCCAUAUACUAUGGCCAAAGUUGCUUUGGUCAUAUACUUUCAGCAAUUUUAAUGUUUCUUUAAGCUAUAAGUCUUGACCAUCUAUGUAUGCUUUAUUGAGUUGCAGUCCUUUGGUUAGCUGCGUGGCUGCAUUAACUUAAAGGUGUGCCUAAACAAUACCUACUGAUACCCGCCUUGCUCAUACAACAAAGCAACACAAACUCUAAAAAACAAAAUUGAAAUUAAAGUUUAUUGCUUUGUUCAAGUGUACCAAUGUAAACAGCAUGGCUCCCCUUUUAUGUUAUUACUCGUGUAUAGUUGCAGUAUUUUAUACAUACAUACUGGUAUCCUAAAGUAUAUACCAUGGAUUUAAAUGCCCUAUAAAUGUGAUCUAACCAUACACAAGAGCUCAUACUAAGGAAAAAAAGACUCUCUUAUCUUAAUGUUCACUAACCUAAAAUUGAUUGAGGCUAAUUAGCAGAAUGCUUCUUCAGGGACUGACUUCCCUAACAGAUUGGAGAAGUGUAAUUGAGAACGCUCCAAGUCAAAGCUGAAAUCUCCUGAAAAUUAGCAAGUAUCAGUUUCUUCAGCAACAUGCUGUUACGUACCACAUUAUUAUUAUGUACAGCAGAAUCGGGUCACUACUCUUUAGAUAAGAGUGAUGAACAAAAUGUUAAUUAUCUGCUAAUGUGAUUAUCAGGUGUUGAUUUAAAGCUAUGGUCAUGAUUAUAGGGUUCUUGACAUCAAAGAUGACAUGUAGAUGUAUAUUGUCUUUUUAGCUAUACGUGUUCUUAUUUACUAAAAGCUAUGACAUUAGAUUUUCUGUGUCCUCAGUUAUCUGAUGUUAUGGUAAGCACAUUGCCCCUCUAAGCCUGUUCAGAAGCAACUAGGGUGCGUGGAAUGUUAAUUGUAAUGGUUAUAAUGCAUUUUUCAACCUAGAUUUCCAUGGUACUAUGACAGUGCACUUCCAUCAUACCAAUUCAUAUUGAUGAAAGAUCAGCGUUAUUAGGGUAACACCUACAACAGAAUUACAUUUGGAGAUACUAGGACUUUACAAGCCAAUAGUCAAAUGUAUCCUCUAGAAUGUAAGCUCAUUGAGCAGGGCCCGCCACCCCCUCUGUUCCUGUACGUCCAGUUGUCUGGUUACAAUUACAUGUCUGUUAGUCCACCCAUUGCACAGCGCUACGAAGUCUGAUGGUGCUAUAUAAAUAAUAAAAUAAAAAUAAUAAUUUAGUUCUAUUAGCAUGGGGCUAGAUACAAGAAGUCACAUGGUCUGAGCAUCUCUCACAGUCCUUGACUAGUUCCAGCCUAUUCCCAAUAUUCCAUGCUUUUUGCAAGUCUAUAUACUAAAAAACCUUUCAAUUCUUAUCAUGCUUUUUAUCGUCAGAACAUCAAAAUCUUAUCAUUUACACAGCUUUUGAGUUAAUGAAACUAAAAUAAUUAUAGCAAUGGCGCCAUAAAUUCUUAUGUACGUUAACAUUCAUAAUUACCUCUUCAGAAUCUGCUCAUUAGGUUUUUUGUUUAACCUUUUUAGCACAAUUCUCCAUGCAGUUAUCUUGAUAUAAGUUUGUGAGGCAAAUUUAGUCCAUCCUGCCCUAUUUUGGUUUCUUCCACUGUACUUACAUAACAAAUACUUGUAAUGGGAAAGAUAAACUACAGAAAUAUCUUAUUGCAAAUUACUUACUCAAGUGAGUUAGAACAAGAUGUUAAUCGUUUAAAUUAAAGUAAAUGUAAAGCAAAUAUAAAGGACUGGGCUGUAAUAAAGAGCAGAUUAUUAGCCACUUGCAGUUCGAAAUGCUCUGGAUAUAAACACCUCGGAACAUCUAAGCCAUAUCACAUUUGUGUGUGUUGUGCAAUGUCCUUUGUCAAUCCAUCUAAUGUAAGCAGUUAGUUUAACAAGUACAGACAGCAUCUAAAUGUUUCUGUUAAUAGAAGCAGUUAAUGUUUAGUGCUAUCAAAGGGGAUAAGGAGAAACUGAAAGAGAUGAUGCGUGUGGCAGCUGGACAUAUAAUGACAUGCAGUAGAGGAAAUGGGAAGGCAAAUGAUCUACAGGAAAGGGAAUAGGAAGAAUAAUGAUAGGUAGGAGAUGAACUAGUAAUUCAAAUAGAUUAUCGUAUCAGAAAUGGAAAGGAUAAUAGAGUGCCACACAUAGGCGUGCGCAGCCUAUUGCAUUAGGGUGUGCACCCUAAAGCACAAACACGUCGCGUGUAUAUGUAUUUAUGUAUGUAUGUAUAUAUAUAUGUAUAUAUAUAUAUAUAUAUACACACACACAUACAUAGCUCUGUGUGUGUGUGUGUGUGCUGCUAGUGUGCUGUGUGUGUAAGGGUGCUGUGUGUGUGGGUGCUGUGUGUGAGGGUGCUGUUAGUGUGAUGUGUGUAUGAGGGUGCUGGUAGUGUGCGUGUUUGUGAGGGUGUUGUGUGUGAGGGUGCUGUUUCUGUGCUGUGUGUGUGUGAGGGUGCUGUUUGUGUGUGUGUGUGUGUGUGUGUGUGUUUGUUAGGGUCCUGUUAGUGUGCUGUGUGUGUGUAGGUGCUGUAUGUAUGAGGGUGCUGUAUGUGUGUAGGUGCUGUGUGUAUGUGGGUGUUGUGUGUGUGUGGGUGCUGUAUGUGUGUGCUGUAUGUGUGUGUGUGCUGUAUGUAUGAGGGUGCUGUAUGUGUGGGUGUUGUGUGUGUGUGUGUGUGGGUGCUGUAUGUGUGUAGGUACUGUAUGUUUGGGUGAUUGUGGGGGUGGAGGUGGGGGUAGAUUACUUAAUAUCCCUCCUCCCUUCUUACCUUAUGUAGGGAGGGGGAUCCUUGUUCCUGCUGCCAUCCCUGGUGGUCCAGUGGAGAGUGCGGGCUAGAGCUCCCCGGGUCCUCUCCUGCCUCCCUCCAUGCUGCAGUGGGCCGGUGGGGAGGGAGGCUUAGAGUAGAGCCAGCACUCGAAUAGCGCCGGCUCAGCAUGAGCCAACAGGGGAGAUCCUGAGGUCUCCCCUGCCGGUCUCAAUCCAUAGGCGUGCCGCGGGGAUUAGGGUGUGCCCAGGCACACCCAGCACACCCCGUGCUCACGCCUAUGGUGCCACAAGAGAGAUAGGAGUGAUAAUGGAAUGUGGAAGAGGAAAUAGAACAGAUAUUUACAUGUAAAGAAGUAGAAAUGUAAAGGAGAUGUGUCGUGGUGUAAAUAGAAAGACAUGAUAUGUAGGAUCAAAAAUGAAGAUAACACUUAGGAGCAAAUAGGGAAGCAAAAGUAAACACGGGAGGUCUGAUUAGUUAUAUAUGGAAUCUUUAGAGUGGAUUAACAACCCAUUUUUAAUACAUGAUCGUUUAUUCAUUAAACAGUGAAUUGUAGUAAACUGGAAUUUGGAUUGCAAAAGUUUGGGCAAAGGGGCUGAAUCAGCAAUAUUAUUUAACCCAGUUUUAGCUACUUUGUAGGAUUUCAGACUAAGGCAUUUCUUUUAAAGGGGCAUUAUAGUCACCAAAACAACUUUAUGAAGCAGUUUCUGUGUAUAGAGCAUGCCUCUGAAGUUUCACUGCUCAAUUUGCUGCCAUUUAGGAGUUAAAUCACUUUUGUUUCUGUUUAUGCAGCCCUAGCCACGCCUCCCCUGGCUGUGACUAACACAGCCUGCAUGAAAAUAAAAUGGUUUUAUUUUCAAUCAGAUGUAACUUACUUUAAAAGUUUGUAUCUUAAUCUCUGUAGAUUGAACUUUAAUAGCAUACAGGAGGCUCCUAAAGGGUCUAGCAAGCUAUUAACAGAGCAAGAGAUAAGUGAUUCUAAAUUAAACGGAAUUGGCAAUGAAGGAAGUGUAAACAUUAGAUGACUCUUUACAGGAAGUGUUUAGGAAGGAAGCCUGAGGCUUCGAUUUAAUAAACUUUCUGAAUGAUUCAAUACUGUUAGAAAUACUUUCCAGUUGAUUUAUGUACCAUUAAAGCCUAUGGGGAGUUUUGUAGAUAAAUCAUUUGCAAAGCUUUCUAACAGUAUUAAAUCAUUUUAAAAGCUUAUUACAUUUUUCAAUCCUGUUUUCAAUUUCCUGCUGUUUGCCAUUUAGUGAAUAUGUAUUAUGUGAAUGGUAAAAAUGUAAACAAAAAAGCAAAAGGAAAGUAAUAUCCAAAUGUUCAUUUACUGGAGCAAAUUCUCUGACUCUGAAUCUAUAUGAUUCUUUAUCCAGGAUGUGAAAUAUAUCAUCCUAUCUUGGUUCCUGCUUAGGAUUGUAUGAGAGAGAUGUUUCAUAAAUCUCUGCAUGACAUGGGCUUAUGGAAUCUGUAGAGCAGCCCUAUUUUCUGCAGUAACUGAAAACAAAUAAGGCUUGCUUGAAAAUGUUGAUUAAAUGGACAAAAUAAUGUGCAAGAGUAUCAAUGUGUAGUGGUACUUACCCGGUCCUCGUGUCUCAUGCCACGCACUCCUGCUUCCGAGCAUGCCGACUUUUAUGAUUGGUCCUGCAUCCCGCAUGUUAUAAGUCAGAAUGGCGCUCGCAUACAGAGCAUGUUCUUAAAGGGGAAAUGGGUGCCCCAGAUCACUUCCUGCUCACAUUGGUCCACGUCAUACUGGUGCCCCCAAAACCCACGUAAAAGUAUUUAAACUUUCUUGGCCUUAUCUACUGUGCCCUACUGUGGUUUCUCUUCCCAUUACCCUUUACUACAUUCUUUGAUUGAUUGUGUAUAUUAUGGUAUUGACCUUGGCUUUUUGUUUCUCUGAGUUUGUCUUUAACUCUUUCCUGUCUUGUUUGCCUGUUUGACUAUUACCAUGUACCUGACUCUGGCUAGUUCAAAGUUUUCCCUGUCUCUCUGUCACCCUGACCUGAUUAUCAGGACGAACCAGUGACCCAACAUGCAGAAUUAAGUAAACCACGUAACAAAUGCAAACAGUAACAACGUAUUACCAGGCCUUAGAAUGACCGGAAUCAAGGUAAUAGAAUAAACAGUCAUGAGCCAAGGUCAGAAAUACAGAAAGAAACAAUUACGGAAAGGACAAAGGCAAAGGGUCAGGGAAAUCCGAAAUACGGAAAGUCAAGUCAAGCCAAGAUCAAAAACCAAUAAUCAGAAUUAGGAACUUGCUCUCGGAUAACCAACAGGAUGGAACCCACUACAGGGCACUGAACAAAUGCAGGUUUGGGUUUAAAUAACCCAGUAAAUCCUGCUAUUGACUGAUUUGGGUCCCAUGACCCCAGUACGUGUGUGCAUGGCGAAAACGUGAUGCCACAUGCAUGUUCACGUCACUAGUGACAUCAUUGUGGGCAGCGUUGUUAAUUAGCGCCGUCUUGUAGCAGCCGCCGUCCCUCCCAAUGCUGGACUCGGCCGCCGUUCCACAAACAGCAUUGAGGGAGAGGCUCUGAGGGUGAGUUGAGUAACCUCUCCCUUCUUUACUGCGACCAGGCCCGGCCACACUGUGGUGCCGAUUGGGCACUGCGAUAGUGUGACUGUACCGAUUAGGUUCAGUCACACUGAGGUGCCGAUCAGGCACCGUGACACUGGGUUUGCAUUUUGGCUAUGCUUUACUCUCUGUCUAAUGUUAAGUCUGGCCACUCUAACGCCCGUAUUGAGUUUAUUUCCUUUGCCUAUCACUUGCUAUCCUAAACUCUGCGUGUUGGGGUUUUACCUUGUGACAAGAUGAGGGUCAUGAUAUAAGCAUAAGAUAUACUGAUGUAAGUAUGAUGUGGCAGAAUCAUGACAUGUAUGAGUUGAAGGAGGGAAACAAGCACAUUGUUUAUUUGGAGUCGUGAAUAUUACGCGGAGUAAUUGAGAUGGUCAUGAAUGGAAUAUUAGCACAAUGAAGGAGAUCCAUCAAAGUGCUCUGUUCAAAAUAAUAGUUUUAAGUACUAAAAGAGAGAAAAUCAUCAUGUAAAACAGUUGAACUAGCAGACACAUUCCAUUGAUGACUCGUCCCCUUUGAAAUUUUUGCACCACUUUUUAGAAUAGAACACUUUGAUAAAUAACCCCAAUGUGCAAUAGGAAGUUGUGCUUGAUAUGAAGGGGUGCAGAUGAAUAUAAUAUUUGGGAUGAAAGCUUGACAUAAAGUAAGGGACCUGGAAGAACUCAGUUAUAUCUUCUAUAUUAUUUAUAAUGGAAAUUGAAAAUAAUAAAUGGAGAAAUAAUGACAGAAAAAGGAUAGAAAAAUAUAAUGAAUCAGUUUGGAGGAACUGCUGUUGAUGUAAUUAUCACACGGGGUAUGUGCGACAGAAUAUUUUCAUUAAACUCAGCAAAUGUAUGCAAACGCACAGCAUAGUAUCCAUGUAAGGGAGAAUUACCUGUUUGAAUAAAUGUUAUAGAUAUAGAGCUAAACUACAGAAAUAACCCCCUAGUACAUCAAAAAUGGAUUUGUUAAUAUUAUAACUAUUUCAUAAUAGAAAGGUUGUAUUGUUGCGUACAAUGGUCCUGUGUUCAGUUAUUGUAGCUUUAAAUCUAUCCCAUUGCACUAAUUCAACAAGUGAGUCACUAUAAUGAUAUAGAUAUUAUUUCAAAGCCAGCAUAUUACAUUUUAAUGUUUGUUUUUAUUAUAUGUAUCACUGCUUUGUUGGAGGUGUUAAUAUUUGUGUUGGUUUCUUUUAUCUGAUUACACUGCCCAAUGAACUUUCAUUGGCAAGUGCUGUACCAUUGCAUGCCAAGUAACUUGGUCUAGAAGUUAAUCUCUUUGUGUAUAGGAGAAGUUUUUUAUGUUAUUUUAAUUCUUUAUUUCUUUUAUUGUUAGAAGAGGAGUCAACAGACCAAGUGCAGGUAUAUAUUCAGUCAGAACUAAUGCGAAUCCCGGACAGACAACCCCAUCUCGGGCAUUGCAGCAGGUAAAAUAAGCAGAUAUUAGUAUGCAGUUAAAGAAGAUCAAGUGAUACAGGAUACAACUACAACGGGGAGAGAAGAUUUCCUGGGUCUUCUAAUUUGUGAAUGUUCGCUAACUUAUAUACUAUGCACCUGAGUUGUCAUGAACCUGUGUGCCAUCCUAUCAAACCUUUUUUUAA